GGGCCCGCACAAGCGGUGGAGCAUGUGGUUUAAUUCGAAGAUACGCGCAGAACCUUACCAACACUUGACAUGUUCGUCGCGACUUUGAGAGAUCAAAGUUUUCGGUUCGGCCGGACGAAACACAGGUGCUGCAUGGCUGUCGUCAGCUCGUGUCGUGAGAUGUUGGGUUAAGUCCCGCAACGAGCGCAACCCUCACUUUUAGUUGCCAUCAUUAAGUUGGGCACUCUGAAAGAACUGCCAGUGAUAAGCUGGAGGAAGGUGGGGAUGACGUCAAGUCCUCAUGGCCCUUACGUGUUGGGCUACACACGUGCUACAAUGGUAUCUACAACAGGAAGCAAGACUGCAAGGUUAAGCAAAUCCUAAAAAGAUACCUCAGUUCGGAUUGCACUCUGCAACUCGAGUGCAUGAAGCUGGAAUUACUAGUAAUCG
rnacentral:rRNA from 1 species